UGGACACUCUCAGGUAUGGACAGACAAUUAGACUAGAGCCAUGUAACGUCUAUGUUAGCAUGCUGAAAGAGAACGUGCUGCUCUGACCCCCCUCCUCCUUUCAGCCUGCAGCCUGCUGGAGAACGAUGGUUGACGCCAGGUCUGAGGAAGUAUUUCUGUGAACUCACACUGGAUCCAAACACAGUGAACAAAAAACUCAAACUGUCUGAUAACAACAGGAAGGUGACAUAUGUGGAGGAG